rnacentral:lncRNA from 1 species
AAAUUAAGGGAUUAAACCCUUAAAGUAACCGAUCACCCCUAAGCAACAUGGGCUUCGGCCCCUAACACAUAAUAAAGCCCAAAAUAAAAUAAAAACAAGAGUUUUAGGCUUAAUUAAUUAUAAAAUAAUUAGCUCCAAGCCCAAAUCUCUAAACUCUUCCAAAAAUCCAUGCUAAUCUUCAUCAAUUCUCGACUUUCACCGACGUCUUCCAUCCACGAGCAUCCAUCUUCAAUCCUUCUAAUUCCUGCGCCAAAAUAUCACAAACUAUGUAAAAUCAUAUAAAAUCAUGGCAAAACACACACCAAACUAAGUAGCUAAAAUACAC